rnacentral:rRNA from 1 species
AGUGAACGCUGGCGGUAGGCCUAACACAUGCAAGUCGAACGGCAGCACAGAGGAGCUUGCUCCUUGGGUGGCGAGUGGCGGACGGGUGAGGAAUACAUCGGAAUCUACUCUGUCGUGGGGGAUAACGUAGGGAAACUUACGCUAAUACCGCAUACAACCUACGGGUGAAAGCAGGGGACCUUCGGGCCUUGCGCGAUUGAAUGAGCCGAUGUCGGAUUAGCUAGUUGGCGGGGUAAAGGCCCACCAAGGCGACGACCCGUAGCUGGUCUGAGAGGAUGAUCAGCCACACUGGAACUGAGACACGGUCCAGACUCCUACGGGAGGCAGCAGUGGGGAAUAUUGGACAAUGGGCGCAAGCCUGAUCCAGCCAUACCGCGUGGGUGAAGAAGGCCUUCGGGUUGUAAAGCCCUUUUGUUGGGAAAGAAAUCCAGCUGGCUAAUACCCGGUUGGGAUGACGGUACCCAAAGAAUAAGCACCGGCUAACUUCGUGCCAGCCGCCGCAGUAA